rnacentral:rRNA from 1 species
UACAUGGGGUGCAAACGUUGCUCGGAAUUAUUGGGCGUAAAGCGCGCGUAGGCGGUUACUUAAGUCGGAUGUGAAAGCCCUCGGCUUAACCUAGGAAGUGCAUUCGAAACUUCUGAGCUUGAGUUCUGGAGAGGAAGGCGGAAUUCCUGGUGUAGCGGUGAAAUGCGCAGAUAUCAGGAGGAACACCGGUGGCGAAGGCGGAUCUCUGGGCCUUACCUGACGCUCAGGCACGAAAGCUAGGGGAGCGAACAGG